rnacentral:rRNA from 1 species
CCUACGGGAGGCAGCAGUAGGGAAUCUUCCACAAUGGGCGAAAGCCUGAUGGAGCAACGCCGCGUGGGUGAAGAAGGUCUUCGGAUCGUAAAACCCUGUUGUUAGAGAAGAAAGUGCGUGAGAGUAACUGUUCACGUUUCGACGGUAUCUAACCAGAAAGCCACGGCUAACUACGUGCCAGCAGCCGCGGUAAUACGUAGGUGGCAAGCGUUAUCCGGAUUUAUUGGGCGUAAAGGGAACGCAGGCGGUCUUUUAAGUCUGAUGUGAAAGCCUUCGGCUUAACCGGAGUAGUGCAUUGGAAACUGGGAGACGUGAGUGCAGAAGAGGAGAGUGGAACUCCAUGUGUAGCGGUGAAAUGCGUAGAUAUAUGGAAGAACACCAGUGGCGAAGGCGGCUCUCUGGUCUGUAACGGACGCUGAGGUUCGAAAGCGUGGGUAGCAAACAGGAUUAGAUACCCCUGUAGUC